rnacentral:sRNA from 1 species
AUUGUUUCUUUAUCUUUUGGCUAAGAUCAAGUAUAAUAUCUGUUCUAAUUUAAAAUAUUAUACCAAUUUCCAUAAAAAUUGCAUAUCCUUAAGGCUUUGUUCCAACCACU